CUAACACAAAAUCAAUUAUUUCACUUAAAUAAACCACCAGAAAUAGAACUGAUAACGUGUAUCGAUAAAUUAAAAACAAAAAAAACACCUGGACCGGAUGGAUUUAAUAAUCUUUUUUAUACGUUAAUGAAAAAUAUCAUAAAAACAGAUCUGUUGGAAACAUUUAAUGCAAAAUAAUUAAUGCAGGCUAAUAUUGUCUCGAUACCGAAACAAGAUAAAGACCCAGAAUUUGUUAAAAAUUAUCGACCCAUCUCCUU